GUCCUAGUCUCACUUCAGCAGCACAUAUACUAAAAUUGAAACAGUACAGAGAGAUUAGCAUGGCCCCUGCGCAAGGAUGACAACAUUUUGUGGAGCAUUCCAUAUAGGUUUU